rfam:Camelus ferus unplaced genomic scaffold scaffold115005, whole genome shotgun sequence.
GAGGGUAUCGCUCAGUGGUACAGCGUGUGCUUAGCACCCAUGAGCUCCUGGGUUCCAUCCCCAGUACCUCCU